UACGUAGGGUGCGAGCGUUGUCCGGAAUUAUUGGGCGUAAAGAGCUUGUAGGCGGUUUGUCGCGUCUGCUGUGAAAAUCCGGGGCUCAACCCCGGACUUGCAGUGGGUACGGGCAGACUAGAGUGUGGUAGGGGAGACUGGAAUUCCUGGUGUAGCGGUGAAAUGCGCAGAUAUCGGGAGGAACACCAGUAGCGAAGGCGGCACUCUGGGCCGGUACUGACGCUGAGGAGCGAAAGCGUGGGGAGCGAACAGGA
rnacentral:rRNA from 1 species